rnacentral:rRNA from 1 species
CCUACGGGUGGCAGCAGUGAGGAAUAUUGGUCAAUGGUCGGGAGACUGAACCAGCCAAGCCGCGUGAGGGAUGAAGGUACAGAGUAUCGUAAACCUCUUUUGUCAGGGAACAAAGGCGGGGACUUGUCCCCGGAUGAGUGUACCUGAAGAAAAAGCAUCGGCAAACUCCGUGCCAGCAGCCGCGGUAAUACGGAGGAGGCGAGCGUUAUCCGGUUUUAUUGGGGUAAAAGGGUGCGCAGGCGGUCUGUUAAGUCAGCGGGAAAAGCCCGGGGCUCAACCCCGGCCCGCCGUUGAAACUGGCAGUCUAGAGUUGGAGAGAAGGAUGCGGAAUGCGCGGUGUAGCGGUGAAAUGCAUAGAUAUCGCGCAGAACUCCGAUGGCGAAGGCAGCAUGCCGGCUCCACACUGACGCUGAGGCGCGAAAGCGUGGGUAGCGAACAGGAUUAGAUACCCUGGUAGUC